AGAUAACAAGAGAGUCGAACAAAGAGAAACAGAGCUGCAAACAAAGACUCUAGACGAUUCAGAGGGUCUUUUAAUAUCAAAGGGAAGCAAUUCAGAGGGUCUUUUACGAUAAGAAUCGGCGGAGGAAUCUCCAAGUGAAGGGCGGCGACAGAUCUUUUAUGAAUGUUUGUGGAAUCGAUCAGAGGAGGCUGCUGAAGCAAGAGCUCUUCGAUCUGGUUAGGUGGAUUUAUGUCGUGUUCUUCGGUUUACCAAGAAAAGAAGAGAAAUUGGAACAAGGGCAGGCUUGUCUCCUCCAUCUUUUUUUUUUGCAUUGCAGCAGUAGCAAGACUGACUGUUCGAAGCUUUGCAACUUCUUCAGGAUGUUCACUUCCUGUACCAAGAGAAAGAGGAACGUCAAGGUUCUUGAUGAACUUCUCAGGAGCUGAAUGUGAAGAUAGGAGAUAAACAGGUUUCUUUUUCAAGAGUGGCUGCAAAUUUGAUCAAGGAUGGGAGUAUGCUCUGUUGAUGUAUCGACCAAUGCUGUUGCUGAGCAAAGCACUUCGGUUCAUACUGGUGUGCUUAGGGGCCUUCGGUGGCUUGUAAAUUUAAGGUCAAUGGCAAAAGCAGAGGCUACAUAAAGAAGCUUGUUGUUACCUGCCUUAGAAGUCAGUUGAAUAUACCAAGAGCUAUUACAACUUCUUCCUCCGGAAGGCAUCUUCUAAUUCUUUUGCGUGAUGCUCCUGCUGAAUUUGAGCAAUGACCAAGCACCCAGUCAUGGUGAGUGAGCUUAAACCCCAAAGUAUCUAUACUUUUUCUACUUGAAUCAUUCUCGAUGAGUAGAUGACAACAUCUUCUUUUUCUGUCGCUUAUGUUUACAAUCUUAGAAAGUGCACUUUUACAUUUCAUAAUUUCUCAUCCCUCUGAUAAUUUCUUCGUAUAUUUACUUUCAACUAAUAUAAUACCUUGGCCACCUUAUGCUUUUUUGCAUGUGAAACUCAGUAAGUAACGAUAAUUUGACACCACAUAUUGACCGGCUCAUGUUAGGUCUUGAACAUCAUAAUGCCUAAUAAGAUCGAUUAAUCCAUAAAAAAGGAUAAAGCUUGUACCUUUAAAAAUCUAAGGAGAGUCAUUUAAAACAACAUACAUACUCUAUGUGACCUCUUUGCUUGCCUCCCCCCUUCCGCAAGUGCUAGAAAGUCUUUAUUGACAUGUCAAUGUCUAGUCUUGUGAACUCUCAAGAAGAAAGUAAUGACGCUGUGGAGAAUGGGUCAAAAGAACCAACAGCGUUCUUAAUAUAAAUAUACUCUUCCAUCUCGUUUACAAAUAUGCCAUAUCUAACUUGUGGAGUGUUUAUGAUCUUUUUGUGGUUAUGUAUUCUAAUCAAUGAUAUUAUGUUUCUUAUCCCUUCUAAUUUUUAUAGCUUAGAUCAUUAGCUCUUCCUUUCAAGGUAGUUGAAUGGACGGUUCCAGCAGUUCCAUGCCCAAGCCAAGGCGGUCCCUCCAAAGAAAUGCCCUCAGCGUCUGAAGGAGUAACUGCUUCUUAAGUGAUAUGUUUAUGAAAAUUCAAACUGUUUUAUCCUGAAUAUAACCCAGUGUUUAAUGCAUAUUUUUAUGAGGGUUGGUAAUUGACAUAACUGCAGCAUAUAUGUGGCUUAGAUGGAUCGGAUGAAGAAACUAUAGAGAUUUUUGCAUUUGCACUAGAAUUCGAGAUUUCAGGAUCAUAUUUAAGUGCUUCUGAAUAUCUCUCUGUUUCUGAGAAGCUAAUAUGAAACAGUGAUUGCACAAUAUUGCUUACUUGCUGUAAAGUUCCUUUCUCUAAUUCAAUUCUUGUUCUACAAUUUUUUUCUAAUUCAUUAAAUUAUUUCUAAGAAAAAUGUGAGAUAAUGAGUAGAUCUUUGUUGUCCAAUUUCAGAACGUGCAGUGUGAAGAAAAAACAAGAACAAAACUGGAUUCACCAGAUCCGUAACAUCCCAGUCACUUGUCCAGCCUCAGAUUCAUGGCGCCCUAGUACUGGAACUUGAUUGGCUGCUUCUGAGAAUUGAUAAAAAUGAUCCACUUGUUUUAUGCAUUGCUGGGGCUGAUAACACCUUCCGGCUCGUUGAGGUUACAGUGUAUGUGUAUACAGAAGUUCAUUGUAAGACUAUAUUUGUAUUCAGAGUCCCAUGAAUGCUUUCAGAUUAGGAUUAGUUUUUUUUAUCAGCAUGUUGUCUCUCCCUUUAUAACUUAUAUGUUUAGAAUAGGGAUGUCUGUGUUUUUAAAUUUUGUUCACCAGAUGACUGUGCACCGUAAAACCUUGUAGAAAGGAAGUUAAAUUCCUGACACAAGGCCGUGUAGGUGGGAUGGUGUAGUGGGGUUGACAACUAGGCCACCCUUGCCAUGUCUAGGUUAGGGCAUAUAUAUAGUAUUUUGUUUCUGUACUAAGAGAAGAGGAAUGUCAAGGUUCUUCAUUGAACUUCUCAGGAGGCAUUCUUUUUUUGUGUGUGUGUUGAAAUCAGAUGCCUUCUGGGUAGUUUAAACGAUGUUGCAAGUAUGGAUGAUGGCUCUAUAGGUAACAAAUAGGAUAUUAGGUCUGCGGGAGGCCUUGGAAGUAAAGCAUUCUUUAUGUUUAUGGUUGCAGGUUUACUAGUUAAGACUUUAGGAAUUCAGAAAGGGUAUAUGCAGAUGAAUGUGGGCAAGGCUAGGAGUAUGACAUGUGUCAGUUUAGACAAUCUUGCUCUGAGUAGUCUCUCUUCUGAAGCAAGAAGGCUCAGGUCCUUGUCAAGUUGCUCGUUAAGUUCACUUCAAAAGUAGCAAGAAAGUAGCAUGUUACAUGGUUGUUGGAUGGAUGAGAUGUCUAUUGGUGAUCGCAGUAUGUUCUUUUGAAGCUAAGCUAAACUAAUGAGACAUAUGGAGCUUCAAUUUUAGCUGAAGGUGGGGCUGUCCAUAUCAGAAGAGUGUAGGAGUUAACAUGCUAGUUCGAUAACUAGAAAGGAAGCCUCGACUCAGGUUUGGUAAUUUGAUUCUAGUUAAGCUAGGAGCUACAUAGGAUACUUAUAAGGUUGGUUACAUGUAAAUCAAGAUACUUGUAGUGUGAGGUAAAUCUCAGUUUCUGCUAGGGUUAUCUUGUUUGAUAGGUUUACUCGAAUGCAGAAGCUGCUUAAAUGGAUAAGGUGCUGGUAUUCCUGGUUAAAGAAGAAGUUAGCUUAUGUGUUUGAGUUGAGACUUAGAGCAACAGCAAAGACAACUCUCUAGAGUGAAAAAAAAGUGAACUGGUCCAAAGGAGGUUGUGGGGCAGUUAUAUGGGAAGAGUAAAAAACAGUGGACACUUAGCUUCAUGGAACUCAUCUCAUAUAUAUAAUGAUAUGAAUAGUAGUUAAUAUAUAGAUAUACAGUGUGUUAAGGAUAUACAUGUAUGCUGAGAAAACAAGCUGCAUGCUGUCACUAGGAUAAGGUGUGUUAUGGUCCCUUGGAGUUGGCAUCACAAGUCAGUUUUGAAUUUAAGGAAAUAUACAAAGAUGUACUACCAAUAAUUAUUCGUAUGUAUGUGUGGCGUGGUUUUGACCU